rnacentral:rRNA from 1 species
GUGGGGAAUUUUGGACAAUGGGCGAAAGCCUGAUCCAGCCAUGCCGCGUGCAGGAUGAAGGCCUUCGGGUUGUAAACUGCUUUUGUACGGAACGAAAAGACUCUGGUUAAUACCUGGGGUCCAUGACGGUACCGUAAGAAUAAGCACCGGCUAACUACGUGCCAGCAGCCGCGGUAAUACGUAGGGUGCAAGCGUUAAUCGGAAUUACUGGGCGUAAAGCGUGCGCAGGCGGUUUUGUAAGACAGGCGUGAAAUCCCCGGGAUCAACCUGGGAAUUGCGCUUGUGACUGCAAGGCUGGAGUGCGGCAGAGGGGGAUGGAAUUCCGCGUGUAGCAGUGAAAUGCGUAGAUAUGCGGAGGAACACCGAUGGCGAAGGCAAUCCCCUGGGCCUGCACUGACGCUCAUGCACGAAAGCGUGGGGAGCAAACAGGAUUAGAAACCCCAGUAGUCC